CAUGAUUUCACUCUCGAGUGUCUACUGCUUCAGCUAAUGUCCAUUUAGUGUCAAGUCUGAAGAUCAAGCAAAUUAAGCGACGAAGAUGCAAUAAACUCUUGCAUGAGCUUUUGGUGGUUUGUCAACCGCAGUUUAGCUAUUUUGAAACCAAAAAACAAAACUGAAAGUAAACUGGAAAGUGGAGGAAUCGCCAUUUAGAGGUGUAACACUUUUUAAGUAUUUUUUAAUGUCGACAGAAUGAAUCGUGCCCCUUAUAUCUGAUUUUGAUCAAUGGACAAGAGUCUUCAUAUAAAAAGAGAAAACCUUAGCCAUUCACUAACUUCUUAAUCUUUCUCCUCGCUCUCGAUCGGCUGCAAUAAUUCCUUUGUGAAAUUCCGUGUUUUCUUUAAUUCUUUGUGGACAAGUCUCUUGAUAUCUUUGCAGUUUCAUGGUAUGUUUCUUCUUCUUGAGAAGGAAACAAGGCAACUGAAUGAUGUGUAGAAUGCGGGUGACACUGAGCCCAAAACUUCUCGUGUUCCAAAAAUUGACGUUAAAACUCUCGUGUACUGAUUUAAGCAUGUUCAGUUUUAUCAUUUUUGGUUGAAAAUCGAUUUUUAUGGGUUAAUUUGUAACGCAUGUGAAAUAGAUAAAUCACCAUUUUCAGACAAUGAUACUAUCCAAUUGAAAGAUGUUACUACAGCAGUAGAAUGUUUGAUAACGUGAACUAAAUAGUACUAACGAGAUGAAAAUAUUGAACCUUGUUUAAUGUACAGCUAUUCUAUCAUAUUCAAAUUAGUGACAAACUUUUCUUUAAACUUGUAUAAUAGGCAGUCAAUUGAAAAGCUUAAGGGCACAUCUUAUGGUAUGUGUAUAUUUCUUCUCUAACAGACAUUCUCACACCAUAUAACAUAAUCGAUAACUAUUUAUAAAUAUUUACCAUAUUAGAAAAUAUUAAACUUAGAUCUUGUAUAAUAUAUUGUCAAACCGGACCAACCCUAUAUGUAUAGGGUCUUGCUUGGUG
rnacentral:lncRNA from 1 species